UACGGGGGGAGCAAGCGUUGUUCGGAUUUACUGGGCGUAAAGGGCGCGUAGGCGGUGCGGUAAGUCACCUGUGAAACCUCUAGGCUUAACCUAGAGCCUGCAGGCGAAACUGCCGUGCUGGAGUGUGGGAGAGGUGCGUGGAAUUCCCGGUGUAGCGGUGAAAUGCGUAGAUAUCUGGAGGAACACCGGUGGCGAAGGCGGCAUCCUGGACCGGUAUUGACGCUGAGGUGCGAAAGCGUGGGGAGCAAACAGG
rnacentral:rRNA from 1 species